rnacentral:rRNA from 1 species
UACGAAGGGGGCUAGCGUUGCUCGGAAUCACUGGGCGUAAAGCGCACGUAGGCGGAUUGUUAAGUCGGGGGUGAAAUCCUGGAGCUCAACUCCAGAACUGCCUUCGAUACUGGCGAUCUUGAGUCCGGGAGAGGUGAGUGGAACUCCGAGUGUAGAGGUGAAAUUCGUAGAUAUUCGGAAGAACACCAGUGGCGAAGGCGGCUCACUGGUCCGGUACUGACGCUGAGGUGCGAAAGCGUGGGGAGCAAACAGG